CAAAAGGGCCCGUGCGUUGCACCGGGAGAACAAAAUCACAUGCCCCUAACCCAAUCAGAAUCAAUCUUAGGAAUAGUCAUGUAAUAAGAGUCAAUCUGUACACCCACCACAGCUUCUGAUCAUGGCGUUUUAAACAUAGUUGUACACUUAAUUCAAAACCCGCAACAACUACCAGGAAGGCAACCAGCUCGUAUGAGGUCUUCCACUGUGUUACAGGUGCCAAAUUGUCUAAAAGGUUGUCACAUCACCACCGAUGCCAAAUGAAAAAGUUAUUACACCGGCUUCACAUCAUAGGGCACCGCCCAGUCUGAAAGAAGGAACCCAGGUUUAGAUAAAACGCUAUAUAAAAUCAUCACUGGAGCAUCUCGAGCGAGUUCUUCGUCCGCCGAAAAUUCCCUUUGUUCUCCAAAUCAAUUCUUUCUAUGGCUGAAACCACCACCCCGUCAUAUUUUUAUGUUUACUUUAGCACACAUAGUUUAGUAGUACAACAUAGAGAAAAACAUAAAUGUAUUUAGAACUGAAAGUAAAUAUAAGAAGCAUGACCAUAUUGUUGGAGAUUAUUAAUCCAAGUCCUAUAGAAAAUAGAAGUGUUGAAGCAGUCUGUACACAAAGUUGCAAACCCAUCCGGAUGAAGUAGUCUACAAGUAGUUACGGAUUGUAACAAGCUGACGUUAAAACUAAAACCAGAGCAGACACACAAUUUCUCUCUCAAAAGAAAAAAAUAUCAUUAUUAUAGCCGACUACAUGAAUUUAUAAAAAGAGAAGUGAAAAGAAAAUCAAGUUACAGGUGAAUAAAUUAUAACUACAGAUUUAACAAUACCUGCACUGCGUGUAAGGUCAAAUUGAUUCAAUUGAUACUAACAUUCAGCAUUUCUUAUGAAAAUGUCUAACGCUUAUAGCCCGAAAGCUGAAAAAUUCUUUGCAAAUUGUUUUAUUUUUUGGAGCUUAUACAUGUAUGGGUGGGUGCCUCAGUUCAGGAUUUAACUAAGUAAACAUCUUAAUGUUGAAACUUUUGGUGAAAUCUUAUCACAAAGAGGAAUACUUAUGCAAAUUUCAUCAGUGUAGAGUGCCUUAUUGCUGGCCUUUCCACCAUGAUUGCAAGAAUCAAUUUGCCACCAAAAAGAAACCCCAGAGACAUGUGUAUUUAGACGAUGCUAAUGUGCACUGUACAAUGGCAGAAUAAAAAUCAUCUCAAAAUUAGGUUCAACAAUACAUUAAUUAGGUUUCUUUUAGGAGCAAUUACCUACUCACGUCCAUGUUCACGGUAGUGGAAAAAAGGAAUAUAAUUUCUACUAAAGCAAACAACUAUGCUUCCUGUACUAACCUUGGGCAUUGCUCGAAUGUUUUAGCGGCUGCUUGUGUCAUUCUUAGUUGCUAAAUACAACCAAAAGUGUAGUAUUUAGAAGCAACGGCGUAACUUGCAACAAAAUAACUAUUUGUAUAGUAAAUGGCCUAGUUCACUAAUCAGGUAGAAACUGUUCAGGCAGGUUGUCCUUGAAGUUCUCCAUGUCGUGAGCAUAACUUCAUUGGCUGAAAAAACUGCUGAUACACUUAAAAUUAACAACCAACACUAUGCUAGUAUAGUAUGAAAAAACAGUAAGUCUAUCUGUUUCACACCAAUGUUUCUUCCAACGAAGGAUCACCCCCAUUGCUAUACCAAACUGAGGGCCCGAGGCUAUUUCCCUUUGCUAUACAGAAUAACAAAAAAGGCUCUACACCCAAGCAUCACACCACACAAUCUUCCAAGGAUGCUAUACAGAAUAAAGCACUACCUUACAAACAAUUUCAGAUGAGGACACUGACCAACAAAUAUUGCAGUUAAAAUUUUCAAGUUGUGAUCUCUGGUGCUCCCCGGCUUGGUUGUGAUAGUCGUGGAGCACAGCCAGAUCCUAGUCCUCCUGUGGACGCGGACGCGCAGAUCCGACCAUAGGCGAAAGAGGCCAUAAACCAAGAGAAACAAAUCAAUAGUGGCCUAGACCAUGCGAGCCCAGCGUCCUCGAUCCCAGGAGCCAUGGCCUUAGUGGCGACAUGGAGAUCAUGGUCGAUGCCCAGCAGAGGAACACAGCUAGCAAAGAAGGAUAAAUAGGAACCUAUUUCUCACCUUGGAGGUGUUGCUGCUGCUGCACUGAAUUGUUUGAACCUUGCUUUCUGUACCUCCUUGGAAACCUGAAAUAUGCAGAUGUUAGAAAGCUUAUAAUUUGUAUAUGAUUAUUUUAAGAGAAGGGGAA
rnacentral:lncRNA from 1 species